GACAGGCAAGAUGGCGGUGGAUGGGCGCUUGGAGCAGUUGCGGAGAAGAGCCUCCGUGUGACUGAAGUUCCGCGGCGGCUGGCCGGCCGGAGCCGGAGCUAAGGAGCCGUUCGAGGCGGCGGCGAUCCGGCGAGGCCGGGUCUGGGCGGCCACGGUGCCCCGGCCGCGGGGCGUGACUUUGGGGACCGUGAGGGGUUGGGAAGUGCCGGGUCCCCGGGACCAGGAAUGCCUCGCAGCCCCCAGCGAAGCCGGGAAGUCCAGCUCCGCGGGCCCGCUUCAUGCCGCCGACUGGUGUAGAGCCCACCAGAAUGAACAGGAAGAAAGGAGACAAGGGCUUUGAAAGCCCAAGGCCGUAUAAAUUAACCCAUCAGGUCGUCUGCAUCAACAACAUAAACUUCCAGAGAAAAUCCGUUGUGGGAUUUGUGGAACUGACUAUAUUUCCUACAGUUACAAACUUGAACAGAAUCAAGUUGAACAGUAAACAGUGUAGAAUAUACCGAGUAAGGGUCAAUGAUUUGGAAGCUGCUUUUAUUUAUAAUGAUCCAACCUUGGAAGUUUGUCACAAUGAAUCAAAACAGAGAAAUCUCAAUUAUUUUUCCAAUGCUUAUGCAGCUGCGGUUAGUGCUGUGGAUCCUGAUGCAGGAAAUGGAGAACUUUGCAUUAAGGUUCCGUCAGAGCUGUGGAAACAUGUUGAUGAGUUAAAAGUCCUGAAGAUACACAUUAAUUUUUCUUUGGAUCAACCAAAAGGAGGUCUUCAUUUUGUGGUACCCAGCAUAGAGGGAAGUAUGGCAGAGAGAGGUGCUCAUGUUUUCUCUUGUGGGUAUCAAAAUUCCACAAGAUUUUGGUUCCCAUGUGUUGAUUCAUACUCUGAACUGUGUACAUGGAAAUUAGAAUUCACAGUAGAUGCUGCAAUGGUGGCUGUUUCCAAUGGAGAUUUGGUGGAGACAGUCUAUACCCAUGAUAUGAGGAAGAAGACCUUCCAUUAUAUGCUCACCAUUCCUACAGCAGCGUCAAAUAUUUCCUUGGCCAUUGGACCUUUUGAAAUACUUGUAGAUCCAUAUAUGCAUGAGGUUACUCAUUUUUGUUUACCACAACUUCUUCCACUGCUUAAACAUACUACAUCAUAUCUUCAUGAAGUCUUUGAAUUUUACGAAGAAAUUCUUACAUGUCGAUACCCAUAUUCCUGUUUUAAGACUGUGUUCAUUGAUGAGGCUUAUGUUGAAGUGGCUGCUUAUGCUUCCAUGAGCAUUUUCAGUACAAAUCUUUUACACAGUGCCAUGAUUAUAGAUGAGACACCUUUGACUAGAAGGUGUUUGGCUCAGUCCUUGGCUCAGCAGUUUUUCGGAUGUUUCAUAUCUAGAAUGUCUUGGUCUGACGAAUGGGUGCUAAAAGGGAUUUCAGGAUAUAUUUAUGGACUUUGGAUGAAAAAAACUUUUGGUGUUAAUGAGUACCGCCAUUGGAUUAAAGAGGAACUAGACAAAAUAGUGGCGUAUGAACUGAAAACUGGUGGAGUUUUACUACAUCCCAUAUUUGGUGGCGGAAAAGAAAAGGAUAAUCCAGCAUCCCAUCUCCACUUUUCAAUCAAGCAUCCACAUACACUGUCCUGGGAAUACUAUACUAUGUUUCAGUGUAAAGCUCACCUUGUGAUGAGAUUGAUUGAAAAUAGAAUCAGUAUGGAAUUCAUGCUACAAGUUUUCAAUAAACUGCUAAGUCUAGCCAGCACUGCUUCAUCUCAGAAGUUCCAGUCACAUAUGUGGAGUCAGAUGUUGGUUUCCACAUCUGGGUUUUUGAAAUCCAUUUCAAAUGUCUCUGGCAAAGACAUCCAGCCUUUAAUAAAGCAGUGGGUAGACCAGAGUGGGGUGGUAAAAUUUUAUGGAAGUUUUGCAUUUAACAGAAAACGAAAUGUCUUGGAAUUGGAAAUAAAGCAAGAUUAUACAUCUCCUGGAACUCAGAAAUAUGUGGGUCCACUUAAAGUGACAGUGCAGGAAUUAGACGGAUCCUUUAAUCAUACAUUGCAAAUAGAAGAAAACAGCCUUAAGCAUGAUAUACCCUGCCAUUCUAAAAGCAGAAGGAAUAAGAAGAAAAAGAUCCCACUGAUGAAUGGAGAAGAAGUGGACAUGGAUCUUUCUGCAAUGGAUGCUGAUUCCCCUUUGCUGUGGAUAAGGAUAGAUCCAGAUAUGUCAGUAUUAAGGAAGGUAGAAUUUGAGCAGGCUGAUUUUAUGUGGCAGUAUCAACUCCGCUAUGAGAGGGAUGUUGUUGCUCAGCAGGAAUCCAUAUUGGCCUUGGAAAAAUUUCCCACUCCAGCAUCUCGGCUUGCACUCACUGACAUAUUAGAACAAGAGCAGUGUUUCUACCGAGUAAGAAUGUCAGCUUGCUUCUGCCUUGCAAAGAUUGCAAAUUCAAUGGUGAGCACAUGGACAGGACCACCAGCCAUGAAGUCACUGUUUACUAGAAUGUUUUGUUGCAAAACUUGUCCAAAUAUUGUAAAAACAAACAACUUUAUGAGCUUUCAAAGUUACUUUCUACAGAAGACUAUGCCAGUUGCAAUGGCUUUAUUAAGAGAUGUUCAUAACCUUUGUCCCAAAGAAGUCUUAACAUUUAUUUUAGACUUGAUCAAAUAUAAUGACAACAGAAAAAACAAGUUUUCAGAUAAUUAUUACCGUGCAGAAAUGAUUGAUGCCCUGGCCAACUCUGUUACUCCUGCAGUCAGUGUGAAUAAUGAGGUUAGAACUUUGGAUAACCUCAAUCCUGAUGUGAGACUCAUUCUUGAAGAAAUCACUAGGUUUCUGAAUAUGGAAAAACUUCUUCCAAGUUAUAGACAUACCAUCACUGUCAGUUGUUUGAGAGCCAUACGGGUGCUUCAGAAGAAUGGACAUGUGCCAAGUGAUCCAGCUCUUUUUAAAUCUUAUGCUGAAUAUGGCCACUUUGUGGAUAUUAGGAUAGCAGCUUUAGAAGCAGUUGUUGAUUAUACUAAAGUGGACAGGAGUUAUGAAGAACUGCAAUGGCUACUUAAUAUGAUUCAGACCGAUCCUGUACCAUAUGUAAGGCACAAGAUUCUGAACAUGUUGACUAAGAACCCUCCAUUUACAAAGAACAUGGAGUCUCCCUUAUGCAAUGAGGCCCUGGUGGAUCAACUUUGGAAACUCAUGAAUUCUGGUACUUCACAUGACUGGAGGUUGCGAUGUGGUGCUGUGGACUUGUACUUCACUCUGUUUGGCCUUAGUAGACCUUCGUGUUUACCCUUGCCAGAGCUUGGAUUGGUUCUUAAUCUAAAGGAGAAAAAAGCUGUUCUGAACCCUACCAUUAUUCCAGAGGCCAUAGCAGGCACCCAAGAAACUACAAGUAAUCCAGGCAGCCACGCACAACUGGUUGGAUUUCAGAAUCCUUUUUCAAAUUCUCAAGAUGAAGAGGAAAUUGAUAUGGAUACUGUUCAUGAUAGCCAGGCCUUCAUUUCUCAUCAUCUGAACAUGCUUGAAAGGCCAUCUACUCCAGGGCUCUCUAAGUAUCGGCCAACUACCUCCCGGUCUUUAACAUCCCAGCAUUCAUCAGGCUGUGAUGGCACACCCUCCACAAAACCCCAGUGGAGUAUGGAACUUGCACGGAAGGGAACAGGUAAAGAACAAUCACCUUUGGAAAUGAGCAUGCAUCCAGUGGCAACAGCUCCACUCUCGGUGUUUGCUAAGGAGUCUGCAUCCUCCAAACACAGUGACCAUCAUCACCACCAUCACCAUGAGCACAAGAAAAAGAAGAAGAAGCACAAGCAUAAGCACAAGCACAAGCAUAAGCAUGACAGCAAGGACAAGGACAAGGAGCCCUUCACUUUCUCCAGCCCUGCCAGUGGCAGGAAUCCCUGACAGUUGUCUACUUUGUGGUGUUUAGUUAAAACCAGGUGUAUGAGACAACAAAAUGGAGGUGGCUGCCUGGUGAUCCAGAAGACUCAGCAGUAGAGUUAUUAUUUCUUCACUUCUUAGUCCACUGACUCCCACAGGGACUCCAACUGAGGCAUACCUUAGCAUUUCUCUGAAGGAAAAAAAAAAAUGUGUAAGUCUUAGACUGUGAAAAACAAUCCAUAAGCAAUGGUAUCUUUGAAAAGCUUCUACCUAAUGUCCUAAUGACUCUUUGAGUUUUUAAUUCUUGGGCUUUGAGGUGCCUUUGAAUCUUACCUCUUUUGUGUGGAACAGUGUGAUUUGGAUUAAGUUGCUUAACUUCUUUAUUUGCAAAAGGGAACAGUUCACAUUUGAUGGCACUGGGUGAGAACCUGGACCUUAUUGAGAACUUAGCCAGAAUUCUCUCCAUUCUCCUAAUCUGAUGAUGUUGUGUGGCAAACACUGUUUAGAUGCUUACCCAACAAUCUCAUUCUUCCUUCCCUUGCUAAUAGAAUCCCAAUUAGUGUGAGUGAUAAUGUUUCUCCUACAUACACUUUGAGUGGCUGUAUUUAACGUAGCUCCGGUCAUGGAGACAAGAGAGGAAAUGUGCUGGGGUCCUGCCUUUGCUUUACUGACCAAAAGAGGACUCCAUGGCUGGUACCCAAUUCUCUCUUGCUGCCCUGCACACUGAUAUGAUAUCCAGAUAUCCAGACUGCAGCAGCCACCCUGUGCUCCUGAAGAAGAGGCUGAAAGGAUCAGACGCCGUCUCUGACCUUGUGAAAAUGCCUACCCAGCGUCUACAUUCACUAUUUUUCAGGCUUUCAAUUGUGGACAAAUAAACCCUUAUACUUUUCUAUUCCUUUACUUGGCAAUUGAACACAUUCUUACCUGCUACAUUAAGUAUUGUUAUUAUCCUUAAUCUCCAGAUGAAGAAAUUUUGGCCCAAUGAUGCUAAAUAAUUUGUCUGUUUUAUAAAUCUGGUCAGUAAUGGGAUUGGGUUUCAGACCCCACAAGCCUGAAUUUAGAACUUGAGCUCUUAGCCAGUUACCUUGUGGUGUUUCGGGGAUGAAAUGAAAUUAUUUUAAAAAAGCACUUUAGCAUUAACAUGGUACCUUUCAUGUAGGUAAUGUAUAUCAAAAUAUUAAGACCUUUGUCAUAAUCACAACUGAAGGUUAAUGCUUACCAAUGUUCUCAGGUUUUGAUUUUCAUUCAGUUAUUUUCCAUUCUGAGGAGAGCCAAUUUUUAUUAUAAAAGGUUGGCAUUUGGUUUCCAUGCUCAAUUAAAUAAUUGUACUUAAUGGUUAUGGAAGGUACUCAGCAAAUUUUUUGAUUGAGUGAUUGAAUAAUUCUGUUGAAAUUUCCUAGCUAUCACUCUUACAAGGUCACUGUAUGCAUUUUGGAUAGGGAGCUAAAAUUUUAGAAAAUAAUAACAUAAUACAGGGUUCAGUAGAAACUUGGCGGCCUCUUCAAAUCCAGCCUCCAUUCCCGACUGAUGAGCAAUAUGAUGUUGCGCAAAUGACUUACUCUCUCAGUGCCUAGUUUCUUUAUCUGUAAAAUGGAAAUAAUAAUAAUCUGAAUUAGCCAAGAGUAGUAUUGUUACAAUUAAUUAAAAUUAUAUGCUUAAAGGUUUUAAAAGGCACUCCUGGAGCCCUAAGUAAAUGUUAACUUUUAUAGCAAUAACUAUUAAAAGUCUUUACUUAUUUAUUUGUACUCUACCAAAAUGAUUCCAGUGAAUGAUGCCAAGUCAAAAACAAGAUUCAGGUAGAUGCGGGAAGUGAAAUGUAAAUCCAUGGUGACUUAGCUCUAUUCAAAUAUAGAAAAAUGAAAAAAAAAAUAACUUAGGUGUACUAGCUUAGUAGAUAGUGCCCAUGUGCAAAUGAUUUUCCAUUUCAAACUGUCACUCUGAGUCUCAGCAGUUAAUUUUCAAAGCUAAAAAAAAAAAAAAGUGUCCUCUUACUUUGAAAAUGAUAAAAUUUCUCUCCUACCUAAUUCCCUGUCGUAGUUUCUCUUUUCACAUUUGCACAUAAACUUGUUUAUUUGAGAGGAGUCAAGCCAACUUGAUCAGGAAUGGAUAAUGUCAGCUCUACCUUACUGGCAGCUAAAAAAUGAAGCAUCUAUUAAUGACAAGGAAAACUAGCAAUUAUGUUAACUUAUGGAAUUCAACUUUUAAGACAGGAUUAUAAUUUAUGGAAAGGUGUGAAGAGAUAUGUAGAUUCAUUCCCCAGAGAAACAACUGUGAUUGGUGAGAACUAUAAAAACAGAACUAUUUAAAAUAUCUGGAAAUUGUCCUAAGAACAUACUGCAAAUAUUUACUUAAAAACAUCUACUAAAUAUAGAAGAACUAUAAUGGCAGUUAGUAGCACUUGAACCAUGCCUUUCUCCCCCCUCCCUCUACCCCCCCACACCCCUGCCAAAUUUAGUGGAAGCUCCACUCCAGGCAUAUGUGGCCAAAAAGAUCUUCCAUUCAUCUCAGCUCUUAAGAAAUACAGUAUCUUAACCAGCAGGGACAAGUAAACAUUUAUACUUCUCUCCAACUUUAAUUUUUAGAAAUCAUCAUUUCCUGGUGAGUAUAGCAAAAGAUUAGGGGCCUAACCCCAAUUCACUGAGAGGAUAUUGCCUCAACCUAGGGUCAGGAAGAGUUGUCACUCUCAGAGAUGCAGGCCACUGUCUCUGUCAAGACCAGCAUCAGUGGCUCAGAGAUUUUGCCCAAGGGAGAAGAUACAGCUGAUAAGACCAGAGGAUUCCAUGUUCUUUCCCAAAGGAACUGUGGUGUGAGGGGAAGUUCAUCCCUAAGCCUGCUCUCUAAAACACUGGAGAUUUGAUGGUAAUAAAUGAAGAGGAGGUUGAUAGUUCUAUGAGAACAAGAUGCUAAACUAUAGGCCAGAUAAUUUACUGGAAAGAAACAGGAAAAUGCCUAUUAAGAAUCUUCUUAAAGAACAAAAAAAAGAAACCCUUGGUGACUGACCUCAAAACAAACAAAAACAAAGCAAAUCACACACACACAAAAAACUUGCCUGAAUUUGUUAGAUGAAACUGUAGACCAAUUCUCAUCCCAGGGCAUUGUUGAAAAGAGUAGACCAAUCAGCAGACAGUUAGUAGAACCUAUUAGCUGGGUGGGAUAUAAUAAACAGAGAUGAUUAAACAGAUCAAGGAGAGACUGUUAAAGCCACUGUCAUGCUAGGGUGACUCUGCAGAGGCCAGACACUUCACACUGUGUCGUGGUGGGGGGUGGUGGUGACAGGAGGAAUUGGAUUUUAUUAAAAUAGUGUAGCUGAGUUACUAAAUCAAUAAACAAGAAAAAUUAUGUCAGAGUGGAGAGAAAUUCGUAUCCAGACUUGCUGUUUCAUAUUACUUAAAAUGUCCUUAAAAAAAAAACAAAAGACAUGCAAAGAAACAAGAAGGUGUGACACAUAGGAAAAAAGCAGGCCUCAAAUUAAAUCGCCUGUGAGGAGGUCUAGAUGUCAAAUUUAACAGGCAGAGACUUCAAAGCAGUCAUUAUAAAUAUGUUCAAAAAACUAAAAAACCAAUGCUAAGUAAGUAAAGCAAACUAGGAUGAAAAUGUCUCAUCAAAUACAGACCAUCAAUUAGAAAGAGAAGAAUUACAAAAAAAAAAAAACAGAUGGAAACUCUGGAGUUUAAAAGUAUAACUGAAAUGAAAAAUUCACUAGAUUGAACCCCUAAAGAAUUGGAAAUAAUCAGUGCAUUGGAAGUUAGAUUAAUGGAGACAAAAAAACAAAAAGAA